UGAACGCUAGCUACAGGCUUAACACAUGCAAGUCGAGGGGCAGCACAGUGUAGCAAUACAGUGGGUGGCGACCGGCGCACGGGUGAGUAACACGUAUGCAACCUGCCCGUUGCAGGGGGAUAAGCGGAAGAAAUUCCGUCUAAUACCGCGUAAUAUGGGCGAUAGGCAUCUAUCAUUCAUUAAAGAUUUAUCGGCAACGGAUGGGCAUGCGGUGCAUUAGCUAGUUGGCGGGGUAACGGCCCACCAAGGCGACGAUGCAUAGGGGUUCUGAGAGGAAGGUCCCCCACACUGGUACUGAGACACGGACCAGACUCCUACGGGAGGCAGCAGUGAGGAAUAUUGGUCAAUGGGCGAGAGCCUGAACCAGCCAAGUCGCGUGAGGGAUGACGGUCCUAUGGAUUGUAAACUUCUUUUGUUUGGGAAUAAAGUUCGGGACGUGUCCCGUUUUGUAUGUACCAUUCGAAUAAGCAUCGGCUAAUUCCGUG
rnacentral:rRNA from 1 species